rnacentral:rRNA from 1 species
UACGUAGGGUGCGAGCGUUGUCCGGAAUUACUGGGCGUAAAGAGCUCGUAGGCGGUUUGUCGCGUCUGCCGUGAAAGUCCGGGGCUCAACUCCGGAUCUGCGGUGGGUACGGGCAGACUAGAGUGAUGUAGGGGAGACUGGAAUUCCUGGUGUAGCGGUGAAAUGCGCAGAUAUCAGGAGGAACACCGAUGGCGAAGGCAGGUCUCUGGGCGAUUAACUGACGCUGGAGGAGCGAAAGCAUGGGGAGCGAACAG